UUCAUGAGAGACAGGGAGAGGCAGAGACAAAGUCAGAGGGAGAAGCAGGCUCCAUGCAGGGAGCCCGACAUGGGACUCGAUGAUCCCGAGACCCCAGCAUCACACCCUGGGUGUGAAGACAGGCAUUAAAACCGCUGAGCCACACAGGGAUCCUCAUAAAAAGAGCUUCUUGAUUGUGAAGUACUAUAUAAAAGCUAAUAACUAUGAAGCACUUUUAUGUGCUUUGAGAAGAUCUUAAAUUCUGUAUCAUAGGUAAAUGGCUAAAACACUGUGAAUUAUUUUCGGAAUCAGCAAAGUCUCAGCUAAUCUUAGUUAUAUAUAGCAAUUCAUGCACACAGAAAUUACAACACCAAGACAUACAAUCCCACUGAAACUAUUUUAGCAAACACUAUUCUCAUGGUUUGCCCAAAGCCUUUUUUGUCACCUCAAAACAUAGAUGACUCUCUCUCUAUCCCCCUGCCCUAUUUCUUCCAUCUCAACCCAGCAGAAUAUUUUGAUGUAAGGAAAGGAUAAAAUGGAAAAGGGAUUCUAAGGUCAUAUUUGAGCAACUCAAUAUGAGACUGGAACUUCUAAGACAAAAAUGUGAUUACAAGUGUUGAAAGGGACAGAAGUUUUUUUUAACCUUAGAACACCUCUUAUCUUUAGUAACUCAUUUUAGAACUUACUUCUCUUAGAAACAGUAUUAUAGGUGGUAUAAGGGGACCCACACUGUUGAGGGAAGAAUCUCCAAGAAAGACAAGUCGGAUACAGUGUGGAACCCAAGGAAAAGAAGUAUGGGGCAGAUCACUUAGGCUUCCAGGCAAAAGAAGGCCUCGCCAAUGCACAGAGCAGCAGCAUACCUCCUCAGGGCAAAAAGCCUGACUGACAGGAACCAAAGGAUAAUUUAGCCAGAACUUCCUUUAAAUAGUAGGAGUCAUGGUAUACCACAAAAUAGCCUAUUGUGAUUUGUUAUCCUAUUGAUCUUCUCUACAUAAUUACAACUACAAAUUCAUUUGUGAAGAUGGCACUAAUUUGCAUCACAGUAAACAGAAAGCCUAAUGUAAAUCACAGUAAACACAGUAAUCACAGUAAAUAGAAAACCUAAUGUAAAAUUUACAGAAAACUGUUACCCUUAUUAAUACUAACCAUUAAUUUCAAAUAUACUUACAAACUUUCAAAAAUUAAGACUUCACAUUUCCAUUACAUAAAAGUUCUCUACUAGAGUUAACUGUAGGAAAAGCAAAAGAUUCCUAUUUGCUUAUUUUUCAUUUAUUAAAACAAAUAAACUUUCCAUACCCCUUCUGCACACUGUAGCAACAGGCUUCCAUUUAAAGAGUUUGAAAUAACCAAGAGCACAAUCCUGACAUCCUUAAUCUUUGCUGAAAUUCAACUGAUACGAGAUUCAAUCUAGAUCUAAUGAAGGCUCAUUAUCUCAUCUUUAAAUGUUAAAUACUUAAAUAUAACUGGAGUAUUUAAUUGCAGUUGCAUUUUAAUAAAGUUUAAUACUCUUGGUUCUAAAAAUCCCAUAGGACUGAUUCAUUUUUCAAUAUCAUCAUGUUCUAUUUUUCCUUUAACUCUACAGUACUUUUCCAAAUCUCCACCCUGUCACCUCUAAAUCUCCUUCCCUCAUCCUAUGGUAAACUGAGAUCAUGAAGACAUAGUAAAUCUGACAAUGCCAUUACAUCACAAAGUUCCUGUCUACCUCAUAGAGAGGUUAUGCAUUUAUUUUUAAAUAUUGAACAUACUUUGAAAAGGUUAAAACCAUCAUUAAAAAUGCUUAGUAAUCAGGCACAAAUGACACAUAUUGUAGGACUUCAUUUUUAUAAAAUGUCCAUAACAGGCAAAUCUAGAGAUUGAAAGUAGAUCAGUGACUUCAAGGGGAUAAGGGAUGACUGCCAAUGUGCAUGGGAUUUCUUUCUGGAGUGACAAAAAUGUUCUGGGAUUGGAUUGUGCUGAUGGCUACACAACCUUGUGAAUGUACUAAAUGCCACUGAACUUUAAGUGAGUGGAUUUAUGGUAUGUGAAUUAUUAUCUCAAUUUUAAAAGGGCUUAGUUAAUCUCAGAAAACUACAUAAUCUAUGAUUACAGAAUCUAUGAUUCCAACCAUACAAAAAAGGCAAAACAAUGGAAACAGUAAAAAGAUCCAUAGUUGCUAGGGGCUGGAGUAAGGGAGAGAUGGACAGGCAGAGCACAUAGAUUCUUAGGGCAGUAAAAACACUGUAUGAUACCACCUGAUGGACACAGAUCCUUACACAUUUGACCAAAUCCAUCCAAUACACAACACUAAGAGCGAACUCUAAUGUAAACUAGUGGAUUUGGGGUGAUUAUGAUGUGUCAAUGUAGGUACGUCAAUUGUAACACAUGUACCAUGCAGAUGGGGAAUACUGAAAAAGGGGGAAGCGAAGUAUGUUGGAGGACAAGGGAGUAUAUGGGAAAUCUCUGUACUCUCCACUCAAUCUUGCUGUGAGUCUAAAACUGUUCUAAAAAAGUAAAAUCUUAAUAAUAGAGUUUAGUAGGAUUCUCAGAUAUUACUACAAGAUUUUAAUAGGAUCUCCCAUGAAAAACGAUCAUGGUUCUUCUACUGUUCUGUAUUUUACUAUAAGGAUGCUCUUUACUCCCAAAAAUGACUAUUUUAUUCUUUUAAAAUUUAUUUUUAUUUUAAUUCCAGUGUAACUAACAUACAGAGUUAUAUUAGUUUCAGGUGCACAAUAUAGAGAUUUAGUAAUUGGGCAUAUUAGUGCUUAUCAAAAUAAUUGUACUUUUAAUCCCCUUUGUCUAUUUCACCCACCCUCCAGCCACUUCCCCUCUGGUAACUAUCAGUUCCCUAUAGUUAAGAGUCUGUUUUUGGGGGCGCCUGGCUGGUUCAUUUGGUACAGCACACAAUGCUCAAUCUCAGGGUCAUAAUUUCAAGCCCCACAUUGGGCAUGGAGCACUAUUUAAAAAACAAACAAACAAAACAAGGUCUGUUUUUUGGUUUUUCUCUACUUUAUCCAUUCAUUUAUCAAUAGACACUUGGGCUGUUUCCAUAAUUUGGCUAUUGUAAAUAAUGCUGCAAUCAACAUAAGAGUGCAAAUAUCCUUUUCAGUUAGUUUUUCAUAUUCUUUGAGUAAUAUGCACUAAUACCCAUUAUGAUAUGGGAAUUCGAUUUUUAAUUUUUUUUAGGAACCUCCAUACUGUUUCCAUAGUGGCUUGCAUUCCCAUCCAUGUUGCAAGAGGGUUCCUUUUUCUCUACAUCCUUGCCAACACUUGUUUCUUGUGUUUUUGAUGUUAGCCAUUCUCAUAGGUAUGGAGUGAAAUCUCAUUGUGGUUUUGAUUUGCAUUUCCCUGAUGAGGAGUGAUAUUGAGCAUCUUUCACUUUGUUGGCCAUCUGUAUGUCUUCCUUGGAGAAAUGUUAUUCAUGUCUUCUGCUCAUUUUUAGUUGUAUUGUUAUUUAGGUGCUAAGUUGUGUAAGUUCUUUAUACAUUUUAGAUACUAACCCUUUAUUGGAUGUCAUUUGCAAAUACCUUCUCCCAGUCAGUUGUCUUUUAGUUUCGUUGACUGGUUCCUUUGCAGUAUACAAGUUUAUGCUUUUCUUUCUUUUUUUUUUUUUUUAAGAUUUUAUUUAUUUAUUCAUGAUAGUCACACAGAGAGAGACAGAGAGGCAGAGACACAGGCAGAGGGAGAAGCAGGCUCCAUGCAGGGAGCCCGACGUGGGAUUCGAUCCCAGGUCUCCAGGAUCGCGCCCCGGGCCAAAGGCAGGCGCCAAACCGCUGCGCCACCCAGGGAUCCCAAGUUUAUGCUUUUAAAUAGUCCCAAUAGUUUAUUUUUGCCUUUGGGAGGGCUUUAUAUUUUGCUUUAGUUUCUCUUGCCUCAGGAGACAUAUCUAAAAAAAUACUGCUAUGGCCAAUGUCAGAGAAAUUACUGCCUGAGCUCUCUUCUAGGAUUUUUAUGGUUUCAGGUCUCACAUUUAGAUCCUUAAUUCUAUUUUUGUCUACAGUAUAAGAAAGUGGUCCAGUUUGAUUCUUUUACAUAUAGCUGUCCAGUUUUCCCAACACUAUGUGCUAAAGAGAUGUCUUUUUCUCAUAACAUAUUCUUGUCUCCUUUGUCAAGAACUGAUUGACCACAAAAUCAUAGGUUUAUUUCUGGGCUCUCAUGUGUCUCAAACUUUGUG
rnacentral:lncRNA from 1 species